GAUCACGCCCACUUCGUUUACCUUGUAUGAUUUUAUCGGUGGAUUGAGUCUAUACAACGAAAAAACAAACCCGUCUUGACAUAUGAAUCAAAGAGACCGUCCAUAAUACCUGCUCACAGCGGAGACGGAACAAAAUACAAAUGGCUUUCUCGAACGAAACGCGAAGAAUUCAUUUAACGAUGCAAUAUCAAGGCACUGGUGGAGUCAUUUCCAUCAAACAGAUCAAUUACCAGCUGCUGUGUCUAAAUUGUUCCAGAAUGAAGUAGCUAAAGUUGUUGAAAACCUUUUAAUAUUGUAGUACCCCCAAUAGCAGGUGGUCGGAUUCUCUAUAAUUAAUAGCCGCUUUAGUGAGAGAGAU